UACGUAUGGUGCAAGCGUUGUCCGGAAUUAUUGGGCGUAAAGAGCGUGUAGGCGGCCCGAUUAGUCCGCUGUGAAAGUCCAGGGCUCAACCCUGGAAUGCCGGUGGAUACUGUCGGGCUAGAGUCCGGAAGGGGCGAGUGGAAUUCCUGGUGUAGCGGUGAAAUGCGCAGAUAUCAGGAGGAACACCAAUGGCGAAGGCAGCUCGCUGGGACGUGACUGACGCUGAGACGCGAAAGCGUGGGGAGCAAACAGG
rnacentral:rRNA from 1 species